GACCCAGUGGCGAAAUUUAUCGCACCCGCAUCCCAUAGCUGCUCCAACGUAUUUGCGGUGGGAGUUCCUGGUUCGAAUCCAGGCUGGGUCG